UAGGAUAUGGUGUAUAGGUGGCACGAAGAACUUUGAAUUCUUAAGUUUAGGUUCAAUUCCUAUUAUUCUAG
rnacentral:tRNA from 1 species